rnacentral:rRNA from 1 species
AUGCUUAACACAUGCAAGUCGAACGGUAACAGAUAAGAUGAUCUCUUCGGAGUGAAUCUUUGCUGACGAGUGGCGGACGGGUGAGUAAUGCUUGGGAAUCUGCCCAAUAGUGGGGGAAAACUCGGGGAAACCCGGGCUAAUACCGCAUAAUCUCUACGGAGGAAAGAGGGCCUCUACUUGUAAGCUCUCGCUAAUGGAUGAGCCCAAGUCAGAUUAGCUAGUUGGUAAGGUAAUGGCUUACCAAGGCUACGAUCUGUAGCUGGUCUGAGAGGAUGAUCAGCCACACUGGGACUGAGACACGGCCCAGACUCCUACGGGAGGCAGCAGUGGGGAAUAUUGCACAAUGGGCGCAAGCCUGAUGCAGCAAUGCCGCGUGUGUGAAGAAGGCUCUCGGGUUGUAAAGCACUUUCAAUAGAGAAGAAAAGCUUGAAAUUAAUACUUUCAAGCCUUGACGUAAUCUAUACAAGAAGCACCGGCUAAUUCCGUGCCAGCAGCCGCGGUAAUACGGAAGGUGCGAGCGUUAAUCGGAAUUACUGGGCGUAAAGCGAACGUAGGCUGUUAAUUAAGUCGAAUGUGAAAUACCCGGGCUCAACCUGGGAACUGCGUUCGAAACUAUUUAACUAGAGUAUGGGAGAGGAAAGUAGAAUUUCCGGUG